GUAACUGUCCAUAAAUAACUUAGUCAACUAAGUUAUUUUAAAGUUACCCGCCUAAGUUCUUCGAGAACUACGUUAGGGAUGAAAACAUAGGUACUCUCGCGAUGCUUCUCCAGUCCGAGACUCUACG
rnacentral:sRNA from 17 species